GAUGAACGCUGGCGGCGUGCCUAAUACAUGCAAGUCGAGCGAACGGACGAGAAGCUUGCUUCUCUUAUGUUAGCGGCGGACGGGUGAGUAACACGUGGAUAACCUACCUAUAAGACUGGGAUAACUUCGGGAAACCGGAGCUAAUACCGGAUAAUAUUUUGAACCGCAUGGUUCAAAAGUGAAAGACGGUCUUGCUUUCACUUAUAGAUGGAUCCGCGCUGCAUUAGCUAGUUGGUAAGGUAACGGCUUACCAAGGCAACGAUGCAUAGCCGACCUGAGAGGGUGAUCGGCCACACUGGAACUGAGACACGGUCCAGACUCCUACGGGAGGCAGCAGUAGGGAAUCUUGCGCAAUGGGCGAAAGCCUGACGGAGCAACGCCGCGUGAGUGAUGAAGGUCUUCGGAUCGUAAAACUCUGUUAUUAGGGAAGAACAUAUGUGUAAGUAACUGUGCACAUCUUGACGGUACCUAAUCAGAAAGCCACGGCUAACUACGUG
rnacentral:rRNA from 1 species